ACGCUCGACACCUACGGGAGCAGCAGUAGGGAAUCUUCCACAAUGGGCGCAAGCCUGAUGGAGCAACACCGCGUGAGUGAAGAAGGGUUUCGGCUCGUAAAGCUCUGUUGUUGGAGAAGAACGUGCGUGAGAGUAACUGUUCACGCAGUGACGGUAUCCAACCAGAAAGUCACGGCUAACUACGUGCCAGCAGCCGCGGUAAUCUGAGGCGGGCGUGGCGAAGGC
rnacentral:rRNA from 1 species